rnacentral:rRNA from 1 species
UGUUUCGGCUAGGGGGUCAUCCCGACUUACCAACCCGAUGCAAACUGCGAAUACCGAAGAAUGUUAUCACGGGAGACACACGGCGGGUGCUAACGUCCGUCGUGAAGAGGGAAACAACCCAGACCGCCAGCUAAGGUCCCAAAGUCAUGGUUAAGUGGGAAACGAUGUGGGAAGGCACAGACAGCCAGGAUGUUGGCUUAGAAGCAGCCAUCAUUUAAAGAAAGCGUAAUAGCUCACUGGUCGAGUCGGCCUGCGCGGAAGAUGUAACGGGGCUAAACCAUGCACCGAAGCUGCGGCAGCGACACUAUGUGUUGUUGGGUAGGGGAGCGUUCUGUAAGCCGUUGAAGGUGUGCUGUGAGGCAUGCUGGAGGUAUCAGAAGUGCGAAU